CUUCUUAUUAAAAUUUUUUUAGUCCUAUGCGAGGCCCCCUCCAAUUGGAGGUCCUAGGCAGCUGCCUAGUUUGCCUAUGCCUAAGGUUGGCCCUGAUGCAUCAAUGAUGUACAUAUUUAUGUAAGAAUUCUGUAUAUAAAAUUUUUCUUUUUUUUUUCACCAUUCUAGUUACCAUUCUAAAAUUUCUAUUUAUAUAUUAUGGCUGUGAUGUAACUAAAUUGUUAAUUUGAAAUUAUGUAAAACCCUGUCCUAAUGUAAAAACACCCAUUUUGCAUUCCUGAUAAUGGAAACCCCAACCUACUAUUUAUCCGAUUAAGAAAAUCCAACCUACUGUUUUCCUCAAAGUUUCACACUCUAACCUGUUGUUCACCACACUUGCAAUCUACAAAAUCCUUUUCUUCAAACUUAGGAAUGCUAACCAACUGUUUACAGAAUUACAAAGUCCAACCAAGUGUUCAGGAAACUUACAAACUCCAGCUGACUAUUCAACAAACCUUUUGUAUUCCUGUUUAGGGAACACCAACCUUCUGUUCACCAUUGCAAACUUCAAACCUAAUGUUCAACAAACCUUUUACACUCCAAUUUAUGAAAACUCAACUUGCUGAUUACCAAAUUUAACUAAACUAAAAACCUACCAUUCAACAAACUUACUACCUCCAACCUUCUGUUCAACAAAUUUCGAAACUCCAACCUACUUUUCACCAAAUGUUUUGCAUACCAGUACUUUUUGUGAAACCUACACAUUCCAACCUACAGUUAACCAAACUUUUGCAUUCCUGUUUAUCAC